GCUUUGGCCAAUGAAGUGUUAGCAGAGAAAGCAUAAUCGGAGCCUUGAAAAGAGCGUGUGUGGCUGGCCUUGCCCUCUUUAUACCUAUGACAUUGCCGUGAGGAGAACGUGUUCAGCCUAACCUCCGGUCCCGGGAGUGACACGCGUGUGGAGCAGCGCUGCUCCAGCCAAGCCCAGUGUAGCUCACCUGACCCCCAGGUUUGUGAGUGAACCCAGCCAAGAUCAUCAGAACCACCGGUCAACGCAGGGACGUCUGAGCUGGGUAAGUGCUUAUUGUUGUCCAUCACGGAAUCCUGCGGCUGGUUAUUAUGAAGCACCACUGUGGCCACAGCUAACCAGAGGACCUGUGAUGAGAGGCCACGGGGAAAAUCCCGGGUAGGGACCUGGCAUUACUGGACUUGUCCUUACGUGGGACUGAAGGCCUGUGAGUGUCGCUGCCAGGCUGUACCCCAGGACCCCAGUAUGCCCCUUCUUAGGACACACAGCAGGUGCGCCUGCGGGAUACGGGGGACCCUCUGCUCUUGUUUAAAGCUCCCAUUUGGAAAUCAUGCCUUUCAGAGUCCCAUGAAAGGACAGGUAGGUUUGUGCCCUCUCCGUGGUCCAGUAACAGAACUGUGUCUCCACGUCACCACUGACACCCCGACAGAGAGGCCUGGCUGGGCUACACCACCUGCUCUGUUUUUCUGCGCUCCGGGGAAGGGUGACACUUGCUGUGAAGCCCAGGACGGCUCACACUGACGGAUCUCACGCUCAGGCCUCACAGGAGGAGCACGCAUAACACCUGAUGCCUACACGGCACUGCGCUGGGGAGGGACGGAGCUGCCCCUUGAUUCCCUUGGGGCUAGCUUUGGACUCUCGGGUGUCCUGCAACUUCCCUCUCCCUGCGAUCACAAAGAUCAAAGUGCAGUCCUGCUCAGAAAGAGACAGUGGCUUAGGCUGGGUUCCCUCAGAACUGCAAUCAGAGAUAAGGGUUGGAGUCAAAAUAGUUUGAGAAAUUAUCCCAAGAAACCUGUGUAGGAGAGUAGGGAAUUAAGAGGGACAAGGAGUGAAGCCAACAGAGGGCACAUCAAUGAGCCCGUCCGUCGCUACUCUGCGAAAGCCGGGCUACUCGUCUACCACCUCCUACCCAGCAUCAGUUGACGGUCAUUCCUGGGGACACUGUCUCUUCCAGCCUACCCUCAUCUAAGGGUUGAGCACGCACACAUUCGUACGUAUGCAAAUUAUAUUCCCCACCAAAACAUUUCACAAAGAAUUACUCUGACUAGCAUAAUGUACUCCAGUGUUUCCUUUUCCAGCCCGAUAUUCUAUUCUGUUUCAAAAGGUGGGGAAGGGGGGGGGGGUGUGGGUGUUCACCUUAAUUGAUUUUACAACCUAACAGGGUCGGCAAUUUGCUGUUUAAAAAAUACUGGUCUAGACCACAAAUUCUCAAAGCUGGCUGGUUGUCGACAUCCCCAGAGGCACUCACUAAAACUGUAUAUUCCCAGGCACAGAUCCUGGAGGUUCUGAUUCAGUAACAGGUCUGGAGUAUGGCUCAGGCAUCUUUUCUUUUCCCUGUCUUCUUGCAGAUUAUUUGAAUUACAUUUUUAUCUAUCUAUACUGUUUUUGAGUGUAUUUCUUGGUACAGAUUCUCUAGUGGUUGUUUUAGGCAUCAUACUAUUGACAUGCAACUUCGCACAGUCUACUAGUAUUGACAUUUUACAUCUCGACUAAGUAAAGAGACCUUAUCUCUGUUGGGCUCUUUUACCCUUCUCCCUUGCAAUCAUCUUCAACAUUUCCUCUACAGACAUUAAAAUCCACAUCAGACAGUAUUACAAAUUUGGUUUCAACUGUCAAAUGUCAUUUUCUCGAGAGGGAAAGGAAAGCCUAUUACAUUUACACAUAUUUUUAUUCUUUCCAUUCUUUCUUUGUCCCAGGUUUUCUUUGGUUAUUUCUUUUCUUUGGAGAACCUCCCUUCAUUACCAUUGUAGGGAAGUUUGCUGGGAACAAAUUCUUAGUUUUCCCUCAAGUAACAAAGCCUUGAUUUCACCUUCAUUCCUAAAGAAUAUUUUCACUGGGACAGAACUCUGGGGUGACAGUUCUCUCUGCACUCUGGCCUCCACAUUUCUGAUGAGAAAUCCACUGCACCUAAACUGCCAUUCCCCUGGACAUAAUGCAUCCUUCCUCUCAUGUGGCUCUGAAGAGUCUGGUUUUCAGAAGCCUGAUGAUUAUCAGGUGUCCUGGUGUGGGUUUCUUUGGGUUUACCCUGUUAGGGCUUCAUUCACUCUUGAAUCUGUAGGUUUGUAUCUCUCACCAAAUUUGGGAAAUUUUCAGCCAUUGUUUCUCUGAUACUUUUUCAGCCUCCAGGUACAUGAAUGUUAAAUAUUAUAUAUAUAUAAUUGUAAAUAUUUAUUAUAUAUAUAAAUAUUGUGUGUGUGUGUGUGUGUGUGUGUGUGUGUCUUUUUAGGUCUCUAAGGCUCUCUUCAAUUUUUUUCCAGUCUAUUUUCUCUCUGUUGUUUAAAUUGGAUAAUUUCAUGUUCACUGAUUUUUUUUCUUCUGUCAUAUCCAUUCUUCUAUUGAGCCAUUCCAGUGAUUUUUUACAUUUUGGUUACUACACUCUUCGGUUCUCAAAUCUCCAUUUUGUUCUUUAUAUGUUUCCUUUCUUUGCUGAGACUUAGCCUGGGCAUUUGGGGUAUAAUGUUAUGAUACUCUGGAGCUUAUAUUAAACCUUCUAUUUUAGCAGGUUUUUGCAAGAACCAUGCUAGUGGGGGAAGGAAAAGCACGGAGUCUCUACCGUUGGAUGAGAGGAAAUCCACGCUCCCCGUGUGGCCUCCACCAACAGCACCCUGGCAGGGAGAGUGAGAGACACAGCAGCAUGGAGUAGGAAAUCUCAGCUCCUCAGCUGGCCUCUACUGACACCCAGGGGUUUACUUUGGAAGAGACAGAGAGGCGUGAGUCGGAGAGGGCAGACGGGACAGAGACAGAAUCCCAAGCAGGCUCCACACUGCCAGCACAGAGCCUGAUGAGGGGCUUGAGCCCACAAAGCCGUGAGAUCAUGCCCUGAGCUGAAACCAAGAGGUGGACGCUGAACCGACUGAGCCACCCAGGUGCCCCAGGAAUUCCACCGUCGUUCAGGUGAACUACUAAGCGAGUCCUCCUCACCUUAGAGAGGUGCCCCGAAUCAUCCAGCAACUCUGCGACAUGGCAGGAUUAAAAACGGAGGCGUCCUAAACUCCUGGCGAGUGCUGCCUCCUGAAGGCUGGGGAGAGCGGCAGGUCACGUGCAGGCCUGGCCACGCAGCUUCUGAGUUCAGCGUCCAGCGAAGGCAGGUGGCUCCCCGCACAGCCCAGUCCAUCCACUGCUCCACCCAGCUGCCACCCGCUAGGGCCAGGCCAGGUCUGAUGUGGGUGAGCCGCUCUUCACCCCCUUGGGCACGGCUCUGCUAGGGAGGACAGGCCCGUUCCAUCCCUUGCAGCCUCCCUCCCCCUGCCUGAGGAAAGUCCUCUGGAGUUCUCACCUUGCCAGAGCAGCCACACCUUCUGCUAACCCUCCCCAACAGGGCAGCAGGGAAGGUGCGGGGGACAGGUAGCACACCUCGGUCUCAGGGCACCGACCGCACCAAGAAGUCUGACCAAUUGGUCUGCUCUGUUGGAGACCCCUGAUCUCAGGAAUUAUCACAUCACACCCUACACCAACCUGGCUCUGAGUUCCUGCCGCAUUACCAGUGGUCAGUGGCUCCCAGAGGAGGAUGUGUGCUGUCCAGGCAAGUUUAAGGCUAAAAAGCCAGACAGACUCGGGGUCAAACCCCAGCUCCGUGACUUUAUGGCACUGCCUUUCUGAAGUCAGGUUCCCCGUCAGCAAGAGCGAGAGCCCAGCACCCACCUCACAGGGUUGUGGAGAAGGUCAGAAAUGGUGUAUUCGUUGAACCUCAUGAAUACUGAUAGCUGACUGCUUGUCACGUACAAAAACAGCAAUUUCACGCAAUUAGGGUCAACCUAAUAAGUGUCUAGCAGAGGGGAAAAGGGAAAAAAUUGAGGCACCAGAUGGUUAAUAAAGGGCCACAGGGAUGCACAAUGAAGUUUGGCAUUUUAAAACAUUUUGGACACACUUGGCUGCCUUCAUCUGACUCGAAGCAAAAGAUGAUUAGUGCUGAGGCGGGAACUGUCACUUUUCAUUACAGUCAUUUGAAACAAAGGAUUUUAAAUCUAAGAGGAUUCCUCCCACAGAUGGGGACUGAGAUAGGACAUGCUGUCCUCUGUUGGCAUCUUGGGCCAGAGUCCGUCACCAACUCUCUACUUGGGCUUCCAAGUCUAGUGCAUUAAUAAAGGACAGAGGGGGCACUAUUUCCACCCAGGAUCCAUGCUCCUUUCCUCUUCCUACUAAAACCCCAGGUUUGUUCAGAAAGCCGCCCCUCCCCCUGAUACCCAGGAGGUGCAGAGCAAGCCAAGACCUACCUCCCACCUCCAGAGGGCGGGUCAGCAGAGAACAAGCCUCUGGGGCCAGUUACUGGCCCGGCAUAGCAUGCUACCUGAGUAGAACGGAGGGAAGGAGUCACAUCCCAUGUUCCCACCCACUGGACACAAAAGAAGGUGCUGUCCCAUGGCCGCUGCCUGCCAUCUGCUGACCAGCCUGAGAACAAGGAUGGCAUGAUGGAGGAGAGACAGGAAGGACCCUAGUGACAUCUCAGAGCCCUAUAACUUGGACUUCCUGCUGUGAACUUUCCUCAUUAUGGAAGCUGGUUUGGGUUGGGGUUUUGGUUCCUCUAAACUAAGAAUAAUUCAACUUUGUUGUUGUGCACGUUGUGUGGAGCAAACACAUGGGGGUCUGACCUGUGCCUUCUGUUUCUGAGCUGUGCUCUAACCUAGUGGGGCUAUUUGGUAUCAGUUUCCCCAUGACCCUUCUAACUUGGGUAAACAAAGCCCUCCAAGAAACUCUUGUAUUAGAAAUUAGAAACUAUGGGGCACCUGGGUGGCUCAGUCGGUUAAACAUCUGACUUUGGCUCAGGUCAUGGUCCUGCAGUUUGUGAGUCUGAGCCCCCACGUUAGUCUCUGUGCUGCCAGCUCAGAGCCUGGAACGUGCCUUGGAUUCUGUGUCUCCCUCUCUCUCUCUCUCUCAAAAAUGAGUAAACAUUGAAAACUUUUUUCUAAAAAAGAAAAAUCAGCGAAGGCCAGAAUGUCAAUGGCCUUGGUGCUAGGUCAAGAAAUCUGAACUCUACCCUAUAGGCAAUGGGGAGCUACUUUAAGUCUUUGAGCAGAGUAGCCCAGAGAUGGGGGGAGAACAGAGGUAGAAAACCCAAUGACAAGUUCCCAGCCUCAGUGUCCCUCCACUCAGUGUGGGAGAGGCAAGCCUAGGAGUUAGAAUGGGGUGCCUGGAGGGGGAGCUUGGCAUGAACGGAGUACAAAGAGCGUGUUCCUUAUGGCAGUUCAAGUCCCGAAGUCUGCAGAUGACUAACUUUAAGCAAAUUCCUGUGGAUUUGAACCCUGUGGAUUUAAAGCUACUCCCUUAACAAAGCUCCCACUCAUUCAAUCCCAUCGGGCCUUCUUGGUCUGUAAGGAAGAAGGCAAAGUCACAGCUAUCCUGAGAGCCCAAAAACUUCAUGUCCUUCAUGCAGGUCUUCAAGGCUUUUGUGGAACAAAGGCAGAGAACUUCUGGUCCAGCCCCAGAGUGACGGAGAGGACACAAGCCGCUGCCUUCUUAGCUGGGUUUUGCCUGUGCUCCGGUCAGCCCUGCUAAUCUCCAGGAGAGGAUCUCUGCAAGCCCAGAACCCUGCGGCCAAGAAAUCUGCUUAAACGUCAAUGUUUCCCUGUCUUUUCACACUUAAGUACCCGCCAAUAAAGAAGAGAAACUCUUUAAUGCUCCAUACUCAA